AGGUGGAAAAUGCAGUCAUAUAUGGCUCAACGAGAAAGAAUUGGCGACUACCCAAUUGCAUGUUCUCUUAAAUUGUAUCGAGAUUAAGCAAUUCAUUGAGUGACAAAGAAUCACAAACUCAAGAUACAAAACCCUAACUAGUAUGAGUUGGCAAGAGGACUCUUGAGACUAGCAAAGUCAUGGCCUAUUUAUAAUGUGAAUAGAUACAAAUUCAACAUAACUUCUUGGGGUUAAUGCAAAAUAACAUAUAAUAGUGAGGUAUGUGUUAGUGGAACUAGUCAAGGUGAAACCUCAAAUUAUUGUUAUGGUGUUGUUACAGAUAUUGUAGAAUUUGAAUAGCGAAGUCAAGCAACACAAGAGCUAAUUUUAUUUUACUGUGAUUGGUUCGACCCUUCAAGUCAUGGGAUGAGAAUACAUAAUUAGUACAUACCUUAGAAGUUGCUUGGUUGGUGGUUAUGAAGACGAAGCCGAGAGGGGUUGUUGAUCAUAGACAUACCUUAGAAGUUGCUUUUCAAGUGCAAGAGUCAGAAGCUAAUGCAACAAUUGAAGAUGACCCAAUUGAUCACCUAUAAAAUGAUGAAGUUUAUGGUGAAUAGGUUAAUUUGUUUGUGAUGCAAGAUGAUGAGGAUGAAGAAGAUGAUUCUAGUGUCGAUGGUGAAUAUGAAGAUCAAAAGGAAGAUGGUUCUAUCGAAUAGUAUUUGUUAGCUCUUUAUCAAUGAUUUGUUUGAUUUAACAUUUGUAGUAUUGAAAAAGGAAUUGAUAGGUUUCAUAAAAGGGAAUUGGUUGUUUUUCCCGUUUAUAUGACAAAAUUAGGUGUUUUGAAUAUUUUCUUCAUAUGGUUAUUUUUUAUUAGAAGCAUAGAUAGUGUAACAUAA